ensembl:rRNA 5S_rRNA 5S ribosomal RNA
GCUUACGGCCACACCUCCCUCAGCACGCCCAAUCUCGUCUGAUAUGGGAAGCUAAGCAGGGUAGGGCCCGGAAAGUACUUGGAUGGGAGACCGCCUGGGAAUACCAGGUGCAGUCCGCC